CAGUUAGAAAUGACUGCUAAUACUCCAUACUCCUUUUUACCAUAAGAUAAAUCGGGAAAGAAUUUCGGCAAGGGAUGAGACUAUAUCGUAUCAGCUAGUCGGUGGGGUAACGGCCUACCGAGGCUAUGACGCGUAACUGGUCUGAGAGGAUGAUCAGUCACAUUGGAACUGAGACACGGUCCAAACUCCUACGGGAGGCAGCAGUAGGGAAUAUUGCGCAAUGGGGGAAACCCUGACGCAGCAACGCCGCGUGGAGGAUGACACUUUUCGGAGCGUAAACUCCUUUUGUUAGGGAAGAAUAAUGACGGUACCUAACGAAUAAGCACCGGCUAA
rnacentral:rRNA from 1 species